GAUGAACGCUGGCGGCGUGCCUAAUACAUGCAAGUCGAGCGAACAGACGAGGAGCUUGCUCCUCUGACGUUAGCGGCGGACGGGUGAGUAACACGUGGAUAACCUACCUAUAAGACUGGGAUAACUUCGGGAAACCGGAGCUAAUACCGGAUAAUAUAUUGAAUCGCAUGGUUCAAUAGUGAAAGACGGUUUUGCUGUCACUUAUAGAUGGAUCCGCGCCGCAUAAGCUAGUUGGUAAGGUAACGGCUUACCAAGGCAACGAUGCGUAGCCGACCUGAGAGGGUGAUCGGCCACACUGGAACUGAGACACGGUCCAGACUCCUACGGGAGGCAGCAGUAGGGAAUCUUCCGCAAUGGGCGAAAGCCUGACGGAGCAACGCCGCGUGAGUGAUGAAGGUCUUCGGAUCGUAAAACUCUGUUAUUAGGGAAGAACAAAUGUGUAAGUAACUAUGCACGUCUUGACGGUACCUAAUCAGAAAGCCACGGCUAACUACGUG
rnacentral:rRNA from 1 species